UACGGAGGAUGCAAGCGUUAUCCGGAUUUAUUGGGUUUAAAGGGUGCGCAGGUUGUUUGAUAAGUCAGUGGUGAAAGUCUGUCGCUUAACGGUAGGAUUGCCAUUGAUACUAUCAGACUUGAAUAUGGAUGAGGUAGGCGGAAUGUGUAGUGUAGCGGUGAAAUGCAUAGAUAUUACACAGAACACCGAUUGCGAAGGCAGCUUACUAAUCCAUCAUUGACGCUGAGGCACGAAAGCGUGGGGAGCAAA
rnacentral:rRNA from 1 species